CGUCCGUCUGAGGGAGCUCAGCUGGGUCCAGAUGUGGAGUUACCUACUACUGCUCAGUCUUUUCAUCAGCUGCAGACUGAUGCAGGGAGACGCUGUGUUGGGCCACAGACACAAAAGAACAAGGUGUGACACGUAGGAAACACGGGAGCGUUGAGCGGAACCCAGGGGCGUCAAGGAGGAUGACAAUUUCAUUUUUGAGGGUGAUGCAGCACCUAAAGGCUCCACUCCGUGCCAGGCAGAGGAGGACGGCUCGAGAGGAGUUGGCUCAGGGAGGAGACGGAGAGGACGGAGGAGAAGACAGAGAGAAAUGAGGGAAAUCACGACAGAAACAGUGGAAGAAAAAAGUGGAUGGAUGGAUGGAUGGAUAGAUAGCGAUAUGUGUAAUUACAUUCAAGUGCAUGCAAAACACCAUAUUAAUGGAUAUAUUCAAAUGUGUGUUUUAUAUGUUUGGUGUAUACAAAUAUCCACUCGUUCUUUUUACUUCACAUACUUUUUAUACCUACUUAACAAACCAGAUAUGGAGCUAAAUUCAUGCCAAAUAUAAAAAGCCAUUAACAAACUAAUGUGUUUUGUUUUUCGCAAAUACAAAAUGCACCUGACAAACAACUACACAACACAUUUCCAGUAAAUUAUCCUUCAGAAACAAAAAGACGUUCACAUUUCAUCCAAAUACCCCAAAACGUGUCAUACAUGUGCAAAAAAAUAAAUAUUUACUGCACGUACACCACAAACAAUAUCGCUUUUGUCAUGAUCGUUUCGCCAGUGUGUCAUUUUGAAGAUUUUCUCACAAACGUGCUGAGUUAUUCACCCUCCAGGCCACAACAGCAGGUGUGAGACAAUCUACAGGCACCGGGAGGUCGAGAGCCAAGAAAUGGAAACACAAUCGCCACUGUCACACACGAACAGACAUCGUGGACGAGAGGAUGACGGCCUCCUGGCUGAGGAAGCUAAAAAACACUGGAUGAGUGGUGCAGGAGUCAGGACUGUGGUCACAGCAGCUGUUUGUAUCUCCACAGUCAAACCUGCGCCUGUAUUUGUUUUGUUUGUUUGUUAAGUUUUGGCAUUCUAAUUUAUAUUUGUGAGCUGGUUGCAACACAAUUUCUUACUGUGCACUUGCGUCUGAAUGACAAAGUGAAUCUUAUA